rnacentral:misc_RNA from 1 species
AAGUCGUAACAAGGUUUCCGUAGGUGAACCUGCGGAAGGAUCAUUACCAAUUCAACGGUGUGGUCGCGGCCCCCGGGGGCUCCCCCCUGGGCGGUAGAGGUAACACUCUCACGCGCCACAUGUCUGAAUCCUUUUUUUACGAGCACCUUUCGUUCUCCUUCGGUGGGGCAACCUGCCGUUGGAACUUAUCAAAACCUUUUUUGCAUCUAGCAUUACCUGUUCAGAUACAAACAAUCGUUACAACUUUCAACAAUGGAUCUCUUGGCUCUG